rnacentral:rRNA from 1 species
ACAGAGGGCCCGAGCGUUAGUCGGAAUUACUGGGCUUAAAGGGUGCGCAGGCGGAUCGGCAGGCAUCUUGUGAAAUCCCCCGGCUCAACCGGGGAAUUGCGGGGUGAACCGCCGGUCUUGAGGCAGGUAGGGGCCAGUGGAACCAUGGGUGGAGCGGUGAAAUGCGUAGAUAUCCAUGGGAACGCCGAUGGCGAAGGCAGCUGGCUGGGCCUGUCCUGACGCUCAGGCACGAAAGCGUGGGGAGCAAACGG